rnacentral:rRNA from 1 species
GUGGCGGACGGGUGAGUAACGCGUGGGUAACCUGCCUUAUACAGGGGGAUAACAACCAGAAAUGGUUGCUAAUACCGCAUAAGCGCACAGGACCGCAUGGUCCGGUGUGAAAAACUCCGGUGGUAUAAGAUGGACCCGCGUUGGAUUAGCUAGUUGGCAGGGCAACGGCCUACCAAGGCGACGAUCCAUAGCCGGCCUGAGAGGGUGAACGGCCACAUUGGGACUGAGACACGGCCCAGACUCCUACGGGAGGCAGCAUG